rnacentral:rRNA from 1 species
UACAGAGGGGGCAAGCGUUGUUCGGAAUUACUGGGCGUAAAGGGCGCGUAGGCGGCCUGCUAAGUCGAACGUGAAAUCCCUGGGCUCAACCCAGGAACUGCGUCCGAUACUGGUUGGCUUGAAUCCGGGAGAGGGACGUGGAAUUCCAGGUGUAGCGGUGAAAUGCGUAGAUAUCUGGAGGAACACCGGUGGCGAAGGCGACGUCCUGGACCGGCAUUGACGCUGAGGCGCGACAGCGUGGGGAGCAAACGGG